AUUAAAUAAAAAAAUCAAGGUGCCAAGUAAUUGGUGAAAAGGGAAUGUGGUUAGAGACCACAGCAGCCCCCGCUACUGUAAUGAUGGACGAAUCUUUAUAACCACUGUGUAAAGCAGGAAGGAAAGAGGAGCAUUCCUGUUAUGAAGUAAAAUGAAAUUUGAAAAAAAGAGCACCUGCUGAUAAAAUACGGGGUAU
rnacentral:ncRNA from 2 species